GUACAGGUGAUGUGACAAUUUCAGUAUGAGUAUAACUAUGAUACUGUAAACGCUUUCUGAUGUA